GAUGAAGAACGUAGCGAAAUGCGAUAAGUAAUGUGAAUUGCAGAAUUCAGUGAAUCAUCGAAUCUUUGAACGCACCUUGCGCUCCUUGGUAUUCCGAGGAGCAUGCCUGUUUGAGUGUCAUGAAAUUCUCAACCUUUUCAGCUUUCUUUGUUGAUCAGGCUUGGAUGUGGGAGUAUGCGGGCUUCUCAGAAGUCGGCUCUCCUGAAAUGCAUUAGCGGGACCUUUGUUGCCUGGCUUUGGUGUGAUAAUUAUCUACGCCAUUGUGGUCAAGCAGCUUAAAAUGGGGUUUCAGCUUCUAACCGUCUCCCCUGAGACAACUUUUUGACAAUUUGACCUCAAAUCAGGUAGGACUACCCGCUGAACUUAAGCAUAUCAAUAAGCGGAGGA
rnacentral:misc_RNA from 1 species